rnacentral:rRNA from 1 species
UGGGGAAUAUUGCACAAUGGGCGCAAGCCUGAUGCAGCCAUGCCGCGUGUAUGAAGAAGGCCUUCGGGUUGUAAAGUACUUUCAGCGGGGAGGAAGGUGUUGAGGUUAAUAACCUCAGCAAUUGACGUUACCCGCAGAAGAAGCACCGGCUAACUCCGUGCCAGCAGCCGCGGUAAUACGGAGGGGGCAAGCGUUAAUCGGACUUACUGGGCGUAAAGCGCACGCAGGCGGUCUGUCAAGUCGGAUGUGAAAUCCCCGGGCUCAACCUGGGAACUGCAUUCGAAACUGGCAGGCUAGAGUCUUGUAGAGGGGGGUAGAAUUCCAGGUGUAGCGGUGAAAUGCGUAGAGAUCUGGAGGAAUACCGGUGGCGAAGGCGGCCCCCUGGACAAAGACUGACGCUCAGGUGCGAAAGCGUGGGGAGCAAACA